rnacentral:rRNA from 1 species
GGAGGAAAGCAGGGGAUCGCAAGACCUUGCGCUCUUGGAGCGGCCGAUGUCUGAUUAGCUAGUUGGUGAGGUAAUGGCUUACCAAGGCGACGAUCAGUAGCUGGUCUGAGAGGACGACCAGCCACACUGGGACUGAGACACGGCCCAGACUCCUACGGGAGGCAGCAGUGGGGAAUUUUGGACAAUGGGGGAAACCCUGAUCCAGCCAUGCCGCGUGAGUGAAGAAGGCCUUCGGGUUGUAAAGCUCUUUCAGCCGGAACGAAACGGUCACGGCUAAUAUCCGUGACUACUGACGGUACCGGAAGAAGAAGCACCGGCUAACUACGUGCCAGCAGCCGCGGUAAUACGUAGGGUGCGAGCGUUAAUCGGAAUUACUGGGCGUAAAGCGUGCGCAGGCGGUUUUGUAAGUCAGAUGUGAAAGCCCCGGGCUUAACCUGGGAACUGCGUUUGAAACUACAAGGCUAG